rnacentral:rRNA from 1 species
AUUGAACGCUGGCGGCAUGCCUUACACAUGCAAGUCGAACGGUAACAGGUUAAGCUGACGAGUGGCGAACGGGUGAGUAAUGUAUCGGAACGUGCCCAGUCGUGGGGGAUAACUACUCGAAAGAGUGGCUAAUACCGCAUACGACCUGAGGGUGAAAGCGGGGGACCGUAAGGCCUCGCGCGAUUGGAGCGGCCGAUAUCGGAUUAGCUAGUUGGUGGGGUAAAAGCCCACCAAGGCGACGAUCUGUAGCUGGUCUGAGAGGACGACCAGCCACACUGGGACUGAGACACGGCCCAGACUCCUACGGGAGGCAGCAGUGGGGAAUUUUGGACAAUGGACGCAAGUCUGAUCCAGCCAUGCCGCGUGCGGGAAGAAGGCCUUCGGGUUGUAAACCGCUUUUGUCAGGGAAGAAACGAGUUUCUCUAAUACAGAGACUUAAUGACGGUACCUGAAGAAUAAGCACCGGCUAACUACGUGCCAGCCGCCGCAGUAAUAU